rnacentral:rRNA from 1 species
GGGUUGUGAGGUUAAGCGACUAAGCGUACACGGUGGAUGCCCUGGCAGUCAGAGGCGAUGAAGGGCGUGCUAAUCUGCGAUAAGCGCCGGUAAGGUGAUAUGAACCGUUAUAACCGGCGAUACCCGAAUGGGGAAACCCAGUGUGACUCGUCACACUAUCAUUAACUGAAUCCAUAGGUUAAUGAGGCGAACCGGGGGAACUGAAACAUCUAAGUACCCCGAGGAAAAGAAAUCAACCGAGAUUCCCCCAGUAGCGGCGAGCGAACGGGGAGGAGCCCAGAGCCUGAAUCAGCAUGUGUGUUAGUGGAAGCGUCUGGAAAGGCGCGCGAUACAGGGUGACAGCCCCGUACACAAAAGCGCAUGUGCUGUGAGCUCGAUGAGUAGGGCGGGACACGUGGUAUCCUGUCUGAAUAUGGGGGGACCAUCCUCCAAGGCUAAAUACUCCUGACUGACCGAUAGUGAACCAGUACCGUGAGGGAAAGGCGAAAAGAACCCCGGCGAGGGGAGUGAAAAAGAACCUGAAACCGUGUACGUACAAGCAGUGGGAGCACCCUUUGGGGUGUGACUGCGUACCUUUUGUAUAAUGGGUCAGCGACUUAUAUUCUGUAGCAAGGUUAACCGUAUAGGGGAGCCGGAGGGAAACCGAGUCUUAACCGGGCGUUAAGUUGCAGGGUAUAGACCCGAAACCCGGUGAUCUAGCCAUGGGCAGGUUGAAGGUUGGGUAACACUAACUGGAGGACCGAACCGACUAAUGUUGAAAAAUUAGCGGAUGACCUGUGGCU